ensembl:lncRNA
AUAGCAUGCACGUGUGUGUCAAGGUGAAAAAGCUACACUGAUUGGAUUAUUUCCCAGAAUCUGUGGCCAAAUAGUCACUCUUUCUGUGGCAUUGUGCUGAAUAUAGCACAGAGACCUCAGUGGAGCUGGUUAUGUAAUCUCAUUACUCUCACUAAUUGUUUAUGAGGUCAUUUUUCUAAUACAUUAGAGUAAGACAGGGGUUUACAAAUGGGCCGGCAAUCAUGAAAAUAUAAUUAAGAGCACCUGCUGUUAAUGAUGCAAUGUCCAGGACAUUAGGGAUUAGAGUUUGGCUGUGCACGGACAGAAGAACACACAAGUUAUGCAAGCGUGUAAACAGACACACUAGUAUGCUGGACUCAGGGUGGCAUUUGUCAAGAGUUUAUCUCCCCUGAAAAGGUCAUGGACAGAUUUCAGUUAUUUUACCCUUCGCUUCAUUUAACACAGAUUCGCACCCACCUUAGAAACUUCCUAGGUACCGAUUUUACUCCCUAUCCUUUUUUUUUUUUUUUUUAAACAGAAGCAUGAGGAAACACUUUACCACCCUUAUAUCCCACGCAUGUUAGGCAAACAGCAAAGCUGAUCCAUUCAAAGUUUUCGUGGGAGUCACACAUUUGGGAGUGUCUGGUUUUGGCUGUCCGUCACACAGUUUCGUCCAAAUUGUCGCUCUGCCCUCUGUGGGAUUAUGAAAGGCCAGACGACACCUGAGGUGGUGUGGAGUCUUGGCGGCCACACAAUAUGGUGUGACUGAGGAAUAGGGAUGGUUUUAGUAAGCAGCCCAGAGAGUUGCAAAACGAUAUUCCUUUCCUGCAAAUAAGUUCUUUCCUAAUAUCUGAAAUAAAAGCAUAUUUGGUUUUGGAAGUUUUUUAAUUUAGACUUUAGACUAUCACAAUCAUGCACAGUAAGAAUGCAUGUGUUGCUUAUUUUGAAUAGAUGAGUUUUUAAAAUAUAUAAGAAAUAUAUAAGAAAUAUCGUUCCUCUGAGUUGGAAGGUGGCAAAAGUUACACCAAUUUAUAAAUCGGGUGAUAAAACAGACCCUGCUAAUUAUCCACCUAUUAGCAUACUCCCUAUCUUUUCAAAGAUAGCAGAAAAGUGGGUUGCUAACUCUAUCAUCAAACAUCUUAAUGACUCCAAUCCGGGUUUGCACCCUAUACAAUUCGGAUUUCGCACUCUUCAUUCAACUGAAAUGGCUGUUUGUGUUUUUGUUGAGAGAGUGAAAUCUUACUUAGACAAGAGCAGUUAUGUUGCGGCUGUUUUUCUUGAUUUCAAGCGUGCGUUUGACACUG